UUGUAGUGUGACAUGCCGUUUAAUGUGGAACUCUGAUUUUAUAAUUUAUAAUUUAUAAUUAAAUUGAUUUUGGGAAACGGGGUGUUACACUUUG
rnacentral:pre_miRNA from 1 species